CCCAAGCGUAGCCCUUGUCCCUCCCUCGGCUACUGACUUUGGUCCAACAUUAGGUAAAGAGGAAGCAAAAUAACGACCGCGUGCCGGCACAGCCGCCGCGGGAAAACUGGGUUUUGCCUUCCGUAGCAUAAUACUAGGACAUUGCUUCUCUAUCAUCGUUCAGAGCGUCCCUUCCUCCAUCUUCCCUCUGUAAGCUUCUGGAGAUUGCAAGUGGAAUUGUAGAGGAAUAUAAAGCAGAAUUGUGUUGAUGGCACUUCGUUUUGAGGUUCUAGGGAGGUUUAAUCGUGCUCGUGCAGCUCAACUGACACUCCCUCAUUUCGUGUGCCAGACUCCUUUGUUUAUGCCUGUGGGCACCCAAGGGACAAUUAAAGGUUUGACAACUAACCAGCUUGAGGAGAUUGGUUGUCAAAUAAUCCUUGGGAAUACAUAUCAUUUGGCACUUCGUCCUACAUCCGAGCUGAUUGAUGAGUUAGGUGGUCUCCAUAAAUUUAUGAACUGGCCUAGAGCACUGCUUACAGAUUCUGGUGGCUUCCAGAUGGUAUCAUUGUUGCAUUUAGCUGAUAUCACAGAAAAGGGCGUGACAUUUCAGUCACCAGUUGAUGGAAAGCCAAUGCUUCUAACACCUGAGGAGUCAAUUCAAAUCCAAAAUAGAAUUGGUGCAGAUAUUAUUAUGGCGCUUGAUGAUGUAGUGAAAACUACCAUCACAGGUCCAAGGAUUGAGGAGGCCAUGUACCGUACACUUCGAUGGAUAGACAGAUGUAUAGCAGCACACAAAAGACCAAAUGAACAAAAUUUAUUUGGUAUUGUUCAAGGUGGUUUGGAUCCUGUUUUAAGGGAUAUAUGCGUCAGAGGCUUGGUAGAUCGGAAUUUACCUGGCUAUGCAAUUGGUGGUCUUGCUGGUGGUGAAGAUAAAGAUUCAUUUUGGCGUGUUGUUGCUCAGUGUACAGCUGCAUUGCCUGAAGAUAAACCACGAUAUGUUAUGGGUGUUGGUUAUCCUCUGGAUAUUGUUGUUUGCAGUGCUUUAGGUGCUGACAUGUAUGACUGUGUGUAUCCUACCCGUACUGCUCGUUUUGGCACAGCUCUUGUACCCGAGGGAGUGCUGAAGCUAAAACACAAUGCAAUGGUUGAUGAUACACGCCCCAUUGAUCCUGCAUGUGGUUGCAUGGUCUGCAAGAACUAUACAAGGGCAUACAUCCAUUGCCUUGUUACAAAAGAUGCCAUGGGAUCACAGUUGCUGUCAUAUCACAAUUUGUAUUACAUGAUGAAGCUUAGCAGAGAUCUACACUCAUCAAUUAUUGAGGGAAGAUUUCCAGAGUUUGUCUGUGACUUCCUCCAGAAAAUGUUUCCCAAAGGUGAUAUCCCUGAAUGGGUCUGCAAUGCCAUGGAGGUUGCUGGAAUUGACAUCUCAUCCUGCUGUGCUCCAUUCACUUCUCCCCAAGAUUAUAAUUAGAAAAAAGAGGAUGCCAGCCAAGAAACAGGCUUCUACAAAUUUUGACUCAAAAAAGGACUCACAAUUGAAGAAAUAUAAUUUAUAGGAGACAUCAGAAGGCAGCAUAAUUUCAUCUCGUAUACUGUUACCCGGAUACAAACUUUACCACCUUUGGAGAUUUGUUUGAUGAACUUGCAUUUGAGAUGCAUACAUGCCUAACUUCUGGAGCUGUUCCAGAGAGCCGCAUGAUUAAGCGGAAAUUAAAAAGUCGAGAGUAAUGAAUAUGACUGCGUAGGCCAAGAAAGUCCAAGAACAGGACAAUUAAGCGAUGUGAUGCUCAACCUUUUGAGACACUGAAUUCCAGCCUAUCUUCCAAAGCUCACCCUCAAUUACUUCAUAUGAUUAGAUUGAAGUGGACGUCAAAAUCCAACAAAAUAUUCUUUUUUACGACUUUCCAACCUAUAUUUUGGACGGCUCUUCAAAAUAUUAUAAUGAAGCAUGUACCAAAAUUGCCAAUCCAUUGAUAGAUGUCCAAAUCUACAUCUUUCCACGCAA